rnacentral:rRNA from 1 species
UGAGGGAUAUUGGUCAAUGGGGGAAACCCUGAACCAGCAACGCCGCGUGAGGGAAGACGGUUUUCGGAUUGUAAACCUCUGUCCUCUGUGAAGAUGAUGACGGUAGCAGAGGAGGAAGCUCCGGCUAACUACGUGCC